rnacentral:rRNA from 1 species
UGGGGAAUUUUGGACAAUGGGCGAAAGCCUGAUCCAGCAAUGCCGCGUGUGUGAAGAAGGCCUUCGGGUUGUAAAGCACUUUUGUCCGGAAAGAAAUCCUUGGCUCUAAUACAGUCGGGGGAUGACGGUACCGGAAGAAUAAGCACCGGCUAACUACGUGCCAGCAGCCGCGGUAAUACGUAGGGUGCAAGCGUUAAUCGGAAUUACUGGGCGUAAAGCGUGCGCAGGCGGUUUGCUAAGACCGAUGUGAAAUCCCCGGGCUCAACCUGGGAACUGCAUUGGUGACUGGCAGGCUAGAGUAUGGCAGAGGGGGGUAGAAUUCCACGUGUAGCAGUGAAAUGCGUAGAGAUGUGGAGGAAUACCGAUGGCGAAGGCAGCCCCCUGGGCCAAUACUGACGCUCAUGCACGAAAGCGUGGGGAGCAAACAGGAUUAGAUACCCUGGUAGUCCACGCCCUAAACGAUGUCAACUAGUUGUUGGGGAUUCAUUUCCUUAGUAACGUAGCUAACGCGUGAAGUUGACCGCCUGGGGAGUACGGCCG